rnacentral:rRNA from 1 species
GAUGAACGCUGGCGGCGUGCCUAAUACAUGCCAGUCGAGCGAACAGACGAGGAGCUUGCUCCUCUGACGUUAGCGGCGGACGGGUGAGUAAUACGUGGAUAACCUACCUAUAAGACUGGGAUAACUUCGGGAAACCGGAGCUAAUACCGGAUAAUAUAUUAAACCGCAUGGUUCAAUAGUGAAAGACGGUUUUGCUGUCACUUAUAGAUGGAUCCGCGCCGCAUUAGCUAGUUGGUAAGGUAACGGCUUACCAAGGCAACGAUGCGUAGCCGACCUGAGAGGGUGAUCGGCCACACUGGAACUGAGACACGGUCCAGACUCCUACGGGAGGCAGCAGUAGGGAAUCUUCCGCAAUGGGCGAAAGCCUGACGGAGCAACGCCGCGUGAGUGAUGAAGGUCUUCGGAUCGUAAAACUCUGUUAUUAGGGAAGAACAAAUGUGUAAGUAACUAUGCACGUCUUGACGGUACCUAAUCAGAAAGCCACGGCUAACUACGUG